rnacentral:rRNA from 1 species
UACGAAGGGGGCUAGCGUUGCUCGGAAUUACUGGGCGUAAAGCGCACGUAGGCGGUCUUUUAAGUCGGGGGUGAAAUCCUGGAGCUCAACUCCAGAACUGCCUUUGAUACUGAGGAUCUUGAGUACGGGAGAGGUGAGUGGAACUGCGAGUGUAGAGGUGAAAUUCGUAGAUAUUCGCAAGAACACCAGUGGCGAAGGCGGCUCACUGGCCCGUUACUGACGCUGAGGCACGAAAGCGUGGGGAGCAAACAGG